GGGGAAUAUUGCACAAUGGGGGAAACCCUGAUGCAGCGACGCCGCGUGAAGGAUGAAGUAUUUCGGUAUGUAAACUUCUAUCAGCAGGGAAGAAAAUGACGGUACCUGACUAAGAAGCCCCGGCUAACUAC
rnacentral:rRNA from 1 species